rnacentral:tRNA from 1 species
GCAGUGGUGGUUCAGUGGCAGAAUUCUUGCCUUCCAUGUGGAGAUCUGGGUUCGAUUCCAGACCACUGCA